CCUACGGGUGACAGCAGUGGGGGAUAUUGCACAAUGGGGGAAACCCUGAUGCAGCGACGCCGCGUGGGUGAAGAAGUAUUUCGGUAUGUAAAGCCCUAUCAGCAGGGAAGAAAGAAGACGGUACCUGACUAAGAAACCCCGGCUAACUACGUGCCAGCAGCCGCGGUAAUACGUAGGGGGCGAGCGUUAUCCGGAUUCACUGGGUGUAAAGGGAGCGUAGACGGCCGUGCAAGCCAGGAGUGAAAGCCCGGGGCCCAACCCCGGGACUGCUCUUGGAACUGUGCGGCUGGAGUGCGGGAGGGGCAGGCGGAAUUCCUGGUGUAGCGGUGAAAUGCGUAGAUAUCAGGAGGAACACCGGCGGCGAAGGCGGCCUGCUGGACCGCGACUGACGUUGAGGCUCGAAAGCGUGGGGAGCGAACAGGAUUAGAUACCCUAGUAGUC
rnacentral:rRNA from 1 species